rnacentral:lncRNA from 1 species
GGGAGAGCGGGCGGCGCUGCCAGCCCGAGGCCCCGCGCUCCGCCGCUCCGCAGCUCCGGGCCAGGCCCGCCCGCCCGCUCCCCGGGAUGGGCCGGCGGGGGCGGGGACGCUGGCCGUGAGCGCCCGGCCAGUCGGCCGGCGGCGCGCAGACCGGGGCGGAGGGAACUGGGCGCCGGGCGGGCGCGAGGGGGCGGCCACGGCGCCCCGGCCCGAGGCCUGGCGCAGAGCAGCGGGAGGCGGCGCAGGCCGCGGCGGGGCCUGCAGCGGCCGCCGACCCCGCAACGCGGGGGAGAGAGCCCUGGAGCGGCUCCGCCUCGGGCUCGGCUGCUGGGGGCGUCCCCUCAGCUACUUACCGGGGGAGAAGAGAGCCGGGAUCCCGGGACCCGGGGCUGGACCGCGGAGAUGCCCCAAACUGACACGGCCGCCAUCUUGGAGACAGUGCUGGACCUACAAACUCAAUAUCCUGAUACUGAGAUCGGUAACCCCUCAUCUAUUUCCAAAAUCAGAAGAGAAAUCUGGAGAUACAAGAUAAUUAUUAUAAAGAUGCCAGUCACCAAACCCUCCCAGUACUCAAGAGGAAAGAGAAGCCACACCUCCUGGAGGGAGGUGUACCCAAAAACUUGUGGACAUCUGUGAAAAACACCAGGCACCCAUGAAAUUGCCCUCUGGGGAAGGAAGCGAUGCCAAGGGCUGUAUGGGGGAGGAGAUAUGAAAGCUUCCCUCCAAAGUUUAUGUUGUGCUGGGAUCUGGGCUGAUCCCUGACACUGUCCUAUAGUGACCAUCCUUGGCUCCCUGCCACUUGCCUUCCUUGGCUGCAGUGCUUUUCAUAUCCACAUGCUUGUGCACACGCAGUUCCAUCUAGACUGCAGAGUUCCUUCCUGCUUUGUCUCUGAACCAGUAGACAAUGGCAUUAUUGUUCCCGCUUGGCAGUACUAGGCCAUUCCACCAUCCUGUAGAGGCAGCUACCUGCCACUGGAUGACUGGGUACACAGAAAUAUCAGUGACUCCUGAG